UUUUAUCAAUAACACACAAUGACGUUUUCCACAUGAUCGUUUUCUGGCGAUAAGCAAAGUCUAAAUCGGAAAGCUUCUUCUCUGAACGAUCUAUUCCUUUGGGUUUGUUCUUCCAGAUUUAUACGUUAGGUUCAAGUAAUUGCUUAUUCACUGUCAAUCGCAUGUCGAAGAUGAGAAACAGAAUAUGAAACACAGAAAUUGCCGAAAAGCUGGUCGACUUAGACGAUCGCUGUGAAGCCACAUGUGCUUAGUCACUAAAGAGGUUUAAAAAUGUCUGACUUCGGCGAUUGCCACGACGAAAUACUCUCUGAGUUGUCAGGAAGAGAAUUCAAGCGAGUCCGUUUUCUCUUCAAAGAUUUGGUUGACUUUUCUGGCUCCAAGGACUGGCUUAUUGAGUUCAACGAUUACGUUAGAAGCGUCGUGUCAAGGAAUGUCACAAGCAAGGAAAUCACCUGUUUUGUGCGGUGGGCUUUGGGUGUCAUUCGACAGGAUUUUAGUGGGAAGGAGAUCGCGUAUGAUUUCGAUCAUGAAGGUCAUUCCAAUGCCAAGCUGUGUGUUAGUAGCUUUAGGCAUCUACAGGCUAAGCUUGAUUACAAACUGAGAGAAGAAGACAUCCAUAGAAUGAAAUUCCUCUUAGCUGACCUUAUACCUCAGGGGUCGGCAGAACCAGUCACCACAGCUGCAGAGCUCUUUGAGAUACUAGAGCAUCAUGGGUACCUGUCAAACACAGACCUAUCACUGGUCAGAUGGCUUUUGGAGAAGACCCCUAGGAAGGACUUGAUACCUCUGUUGGAAAUCUAUCACUCCCAAAAACGUGGAAGCAAAGUUCCUAGUGCCUAUGGACUGAGGAAACUACCUGUUGACUAUGUCGACCGACAAAGUGACAUUGAAGAUGUUAAGAAACUCCUUCGCUCGGGUGACGCUUCCGUGGGAGUGGUAGACUCUCGGACCAAGUCGCGCACCAGCAACGAGAAAUCCCAGCAAAUAGUAGGCAUUCGUGGUAUGGGGGGUAUCGGAAAAACGGUCCUCACCCAAGCCGUGUGUUGGCAGAUCAAGGAACAGAGACAGGUGAUCUGGCUAACGGUGGGACAAACGCCCGACCUGCUCUCACUUCUUAAUACACUAGCAACUAUCGUUACAGGGAAGACAUGCUCAUUUACUGACGUUGCCAUGGUACAGAACUUUAUAACUGAAAGCACCGCUGAUCGUGACGUCCUCGUCGUGCUGGAUGACGUCUGGGAUGUCAAUCAUGCCGCAGCCUUUGAUGUGUUGAGUGGCACCUGCCAAUUACUCGUCAAUACCCGCAACGCGGAUGUUAUCCAUGGUCUUCGUAGCUCUAAGGUUUAUAAGCUUGGGUCCCUGAGCAUUAAAAAGUCACGUGAAUUGCUCAUGAAAAGUGCACACAAGAAUCUAGAAGAGUUGUCUCAACAAGUUCGACGGCUAGUGGAAGAUAUUCUCAGAGAAUGCGAUGGGCUCCCGUUGGCUUUAGCUCUCGUUGGCUCCAGUCUUAUUGAUGCAAGUCCUACAAGCGUGAGUGACUGGAAAGAUAGGCUAGACGGGCUAAAAGAUGCCGACUUAGAAGAGAUCAAGUCCUGCUUCCCCUCUGAUUCGUACCCAUACGAGAACCUACUCGCUGCGAUUGAAGUAAGCUUUCGUGCUCUACCUCAAGACAAGCAGGAGAAAUUUCUCAGCUUUGCAAUUUUUCCUGAAGAUGAGGAAGUACCUUCCUAUGUGCUGGAGAUGGUGUGGAAACUUCCAGGACGCCAGACAAGGAACUCUUUAUCAUUUUUGGAACGGCGUUCCCUUUUGCUGGAAGGCACGAGAGAAAACAGCUACAUGGUUCACGACGUGCUGUUAGAUUAUCUUCGCGGGCGCAUCAGAGUAGAGAGGAACGAUACUAGUGCCCUAAGAAAUGCCAACCAAGAAUUUUUAGAACUUUACAAGAGCAAGUGUCUAAAUGAAAAAUGGAGCAAUGGUCCUAAAAACGACGUGUAUUUCUUCCAACAUCUGGCCUUUCAUUUGAUGAAGGCAGAGAAGGUGAAAGAACUCGAAGACCUUUUGCUUGACUUUGAGUGGCUCAGAGUCAAAUUGGAUGGGGCUGAUUUGUCGUCCCUGCUAGCAGAUUUCCGAUACCUGGCAGCUGAACAGUCGGGUAAAGAAGAGGUCUUUUUGCUGCGGUCCUCUCUAAUGCUCUCCUCGAAUGUGAUAUCGUCGAGCAAAGAUCAGCUCGGACCUCAGUUAGUUGGAAGACUCCAAGGGUUCAGCUCCAACCAGCGCAUCAACGACAUCCUCAAACAAGUAGUGGAAUGUGAAAGCGGUAUUCUCCCCCUCAGAUGGUGCUUGACCCCCCCUGGAGGGCCCUUAUUAAGAACCAUAGACGGGAGGAGCAGGACGAUCCUUGGCAUUGCAGUGACGCCAGACACCAAGAAGAUUAUUACAGGUGGAGCCGAUGGAAGUAUAAGAGUCUGGGAUUACGAGACUGGCAAGGAACUCAACAAGCUACUAGACCACACAAAGUUGGUGUACACGUUGGCUUUAUCGCCCCACGCAGACUUUCUCGUAUCUGGUGCUUUCGAUCAUACAGUUAAGAUAUGGGACAUGGAUACUUUGUCUUUGGUACGUACUUUAAAAGGCCACAAGAAUUGGGUCAGUGGAGUUCUUGUAACUCCUGAUUCUAAGAGGAUUAUCUCUUCAUCGUACGAUAAGACUGUUAAGAUCUGGGAUGUCGAGACCUGCGCUUUUGUGAAUAGCCUUGAUGGUCAUGAUGGUCAUGUAAGAGGUAUCGCUAUCACUUCCGAUGGGCGCAGGCUCGUCUCCGCGUCACAGGACCGAACUCUAAGAAUCUGGAACCUUGAGACAUUUGCCCACGUGAGUACCCUGCGUGGACAUUCAGAGACUGUGUAUUGCGUGUGCUGUUCGCCCGACGACAAAUUUGCCAUUUCGGGCUCUGAAGACACGAUGGUGAAGAUCUGGGACCUCGAGAGCGCUAAAGAAGUGCGCAGUCUUGUAGGACACACAAGUGAUAUAUUUGCUGUUGCCGUGACCCCAGAUGGGAGCCAAGUAAUCUCUUCAGGUGAUGAUACGCAAGUGAAGGUCUGGUCGCUAGAAAGUGGCGAGGAACUGGCGUCCCUACAUGGUCAUAGCGAGUCGGUACGUAUCGUUACUGUAUCUCCUGACGGACUAACAAUAGUGUCCGGCUCUGAGGAUGCAACGUUCAAGAUAUGGAGAAUUGCUUCCAUGAAUACUAUUUCUCCUGUUCUUGGUCAUAAACGAACCAUAAAUGGAAUGGCGUUAUCGAAGAACGGGGAUUUUUGCGUGACCGGAUCAGAUAAUUCUCUUGUAAAGGUCUGGGACGGAAAAAUCUAUAGUGAGCUGAUGACUUUCUCUGGACAUACGGAUUGUGUCCAGGCAAUAGCACUAUGUCCAGACAGUAGUCUUGCAGCUUCUGGAGGCAAUGAUUGUGUGAUUAAUAUCUGGAAUUUAGCUCCUUUUUUCCGUAAGCUUUCGUUAAAGGAGCAUGAGUACCCUGUUCAAGCCUUGGCGUUUGCAGAGGAGGGAAGAUGUCUGGUUUCCGCCGCGCAAGACGACUGCAUCAUUGCAUGGGAUGCACAGCAAGGGCUACCGCUUGUGAAAGUCUUCGCACCUGUUCAUGAUAUUCUCGGGGUUGAAAUGAACUCAGGCGAGCUGACUUGCUACAACAGACGAAGACACAUAUGGAAGUGCAAGCUCGAUUUAUCAUCGCGUAGUCCUCAUCGCUCUAACAAUAGCACUUCUGCUAAUGAUGAUGCGACUGGUGAUGAUGAUGAGAAUGGUAAUGAUGAUGGUGGUGAUAAUGAUGAUGGUGUUGAUGGUGACAAGAGAACGACAGAAAUUGCAGCUGUAUCCGAUCAUUCUGUUGCGCCUUCUCGAUCUUUCUGGAAUCCUGACUUUCCUGUCCAGGAAGGACCUGACAGCGGCUCCCACCCAGCGCUGAUGAUUCGAAACGGAACAAGACUUCUUCUAGGCAGUGUCAUGAGUAAGGCCGCUCUGCGUCUCAUAGACGUUGAGACUGGCAUGGACAUUGGCCUGUGUAUAGACACUGACGCGAGGUCCAUCGUGACUUCCUUGGUAGUUACGAAGGAUGAAAAAGAGGUAUUUGUUGGCACUGAUCGCGGAAGGGUUGUCAAGAUGGACAUCGACUCUGACGGCAUUGUACAGGUGUACCAGCACUCUGCUAUGCAAGAGGUUAAUGCUGUUGCGCUUGCUUGUGAAGACCGCUCUUUAUUGACGGCAGACACAAGCGGGAAAAUUCUCCAGUGGAACGUGGCGACAGCGGAGCAUAAACUAGUCCUUGAUUUCGACCAGAGCAAGGUAAACUCUGGUUGUGCUGUUGCUGAAACUUCUGCGGCAUUUUGUGAUAGUACAGGUCGUCUCCAUGUGGUAUGCGUGUCUCGAGGUAUCAGCGUUACCAUCGAUGCGCACGAACACGCUGUGCAUGCCGUUGCAUACAACGCCGCUGUUGAUUACCUGAUCACGGGUUCUCGCCAUGAGCAUGUGAUCAAAGGCUGGCGUGUGUGUAUCAGUGAGAGUGCGAUCACGUGCAAGUUGGUCUUCUCGAUCAACAGCAAUCACGACUCUGGUGUUCGAACUCUAACCUGGUCUCCGGAUGGGUUAUCACUCUACUCGGCCUCCACUGAUAAUAAGAUAGCCCACUGGGACGUCACUGAACCAAGCUAUUCGCAGAGACAAAACGAGAUCAAGGCUUCUAGUUUCGGCAUAAGUUACCUCUAUGCCGACAACGAACGACUGAUCGCAACAUUUGACGACGCUCAUGUUAUCACAUGGGACAUCAAGUCACGUGAGGUCAUCAGGUCAGCCAAUGGGCAUUGGGGGCGAUACAACGUGGUCAGCUUCUUUCCACAGGGAGACCAAGUCGUGUCGAAUGGACAUCACUUCACACUGAAACAAUGGGACUUGGGAAGCGGACGAAUUAAGCACAUAUACCCACACAGCAACGAAAUAACCACAUUAUGCGUACUACCCUGUGGGCGUUACCUAGUAACUGGAUCACGUGACAAGAUAUUGCGCCUAUGGGAGGCUGGGAAUCCAGAAUGCGUCAGCAGAUUCUACUUUGAGCACAUUCCGCAGACCGUAGCGUGCAGUGAGGCUGGGGGAGUUUGCGUCGGGCUGACUAACGGCCAGGUGUGCUUUAUGGAGCUUCGCGUCUAGGUGCAAUAAUGGUGGUCUGUCUUGGACGCGUAGAAUUGUCUGAUGGCAGAGAUAAUACUCGACUUGCUGGAACCGUGACAUGAUUUCAGUGAAAGACUGAUGGCGCUAUGGUGUCCUUUUGGACAAGAAAUUCAGAAAAUGAAAAUUCACAAGAGAGAAGGAACGAAAUUUACAGAGCCGUAAUGUUAAAGAUGUCUUGUUUAUUCUUCUAAAAGUAAUACUUAGCUUCGUCAGCUUUUCGGUUUAUUUAAAGACUGAAGAGCCAAAAUGAACUAUUUUUAAGACAGCAAGUUUGCUCACCCUCCAGUGCCAUAUAGGUAGGAAUUUCGAAUAAAAAAAUCUACUAGCGCUCUUGCUUCGACAACGCUGACCUCUCCUAGAAUAGAAGGCUUUUCAAAUGUUAAAAUCAAUUGUUAAUAUUUUUUAAUUGGAAGCCCUUGAACCGCUUUCGUAACAAAAGUUGAUCUUAUGUCUUUUGUGAAGCGAUUUUCUUUCAUUGUAAAGUACGGAUUUAGCCGAAGAACCGUUUCCGUCAAUCUUCCCUGCCGAUAUUUGACAGUUUGGGAAAGAGAAGAAAGAAAAUGUAUCCCUAAAACGUGUCGGGAAAGGAUGGAGCAGAAAAGGGGUUCUUAAGGCACGUGUCCACAUGAACGGCUGUCUGAAUCCAGACAACGUUUGAAUGUAUUUUCCACUGUGGUGGUUUUGCGGCUAAUGAUACGAUCUCACUCAUAAGCAUGUCCUAGCUUUGUAGUCCUAAUUGAUGUAAUUGGUCGAUUCUCGAAGUGAAAUUAAGAAAAACACAAGUUAAUGUCUUUCUUCUAAAAGUAAAAGUGAGUAAAAUAGAGGCGCGGAUUGUGUUGGAACCUCAUACAUUUGUAAUAAGAACUUACUUGGAACCACAGCAUAAGGAGUGCAAAUUUAACCUUUCUUUGGAGCCUUCAUGAUAGACAAUAUCCAUGAAAGGCUACGGGUCUAUGGCGAAAUCAUUUAGCUGUUUUGGACGAAUGAAAAACAUGAAAUACUUCUCUCUUGCGUCUUUUCCAAUUGCUUAGUCAAGUUACGCAAUGAGAUUCAGAACGUGAAAAAUGCGCUUGUGUUUCGUUUACUUUUCAGCUCUUUCCGGCUUUUCUAAAAUGCGUCUUUAAUGGGUUUAGCGGUACCCUCACAAGAAGAGGGUCCUCGCUUAAGGAAUAUUGCUAAGUACACACUAGAUCCACCAUGUAUCCGUUUUACAGUGAACCGAAAAGAGCCGACUUUUGUAAGCUACUUCCUGAAAAACCCCAAUCCCCAUUCAAAGUCGAAUUUGUAUUACGCAAAGGCAAACAAAUAGUGGUCUUUCGAAGCACGAUUCAGAACCCACAAAUUAUCCAUUACCCUUACCGCCUUAUCCAUUUUUCUCGUAAAAAGAACGAGUAACAAAAAGCUUAUUAAUUCAUUAAUUCACUGAAGUUUGCCCAAAAAGGUCAGGCGCCUUUAAAAAAAACUUAACAUGAGGACUUAAAACCAACACAGCUUUGACAUUGACGACCAAUAUUUAGGUGAAUGGUGCCGUCAGAAAGCGUUUUAAAUAAGAUUAGCGAGUGACGUGAUGUUUUGAAGAGAAAGAAAUUCAAAUUGCACCUCAUCAAAUGUGGUUAAGCCAUUUUUUUUGCCCCAUCAUCACGAUCCCUUUAAGGUUCAUCCCUCGAAUUACCUGCCAUCCUCUCUGCUAACACCAGUGCAUCGUUUGCCGAAAAGAUGCUGAUCUUUACACUGCCUUAUCAAUUAGCAGUACCUCUCGCAUCAAGCAGACUCGUCACCUAAUAACACCGACCACUGAUUGGACAAACCAGCUGGUACGUCACCUACUUACACGACCACUGAUUGGUCAAACCAGUUGGCACGUCACCUACUAAAACGACCACUGAUUGGUCAAACCAGUUGGCACGUCACCUACUAAUACGUCCACUGAUUGGUCAAACCAACUGGCACGUCACCUAUAAGACGUCCACUAAUUGGUCAAACCAGCUAGCACAUCACCUACUAACACGUCCACUGAUUGGUCAAACCAACUGGCACGUCACCUAUAAGACGUCCACUACUAACACGACCACUGAUUGGUCAAACCAGCUGGUACGUCACCUAUAAGACGUCCACUAAUUGGUCAAACCAGCUAGCACAUCACCUACUAACACGUCCACUGAUUGGUCAAACCAACUGGCACGUCACCUAUAAGACGUCCACUACUAACACGACUACUGAUUGGUCAAACCAGCUGGCACGCCACCUACUUACACGAACACUGAUUGGUCAAACCAGCUAGCAUGUCACCUACUAACACGUCCAUUGAUUGGUCAAACCAGCAAACACGUGCACUGAAAAAAAUGAUGCCAUUUUAAUAUUUACUAUCUAAGUUGAUGGUGUGAAUCUGAGAUAUUUUGGGAGCAGAAUUGCCAAACCUAUCAUUUCCUGGCUUUCAUUCAAUAUCACAUCAACAUUUAACGGCGCCAUGUUGAAUUUCGUUGCUCUAAUAUCGUCCCAUCAUGCUGCUCCACAACUCGACCCAGUCCCCCGCGCAUAGCAAGAAUUGCGAAUUACAACGUUUGUUGGUCAAACCAGCAUUCACUGAUUGGUCUAACAAAAAAUGACUUACUCUUCCACUGAAAAAGUAGGCCAGUAUCGCCUUGCCUUAUUACACAUCUGCUUGUUGGUCAGCCAUUCACAGAUUGGACAAAAGCGCAUUACAUUCAUUGACUGGUCAGACAAGCAGCGACGUUAUUCUUAAGGUUAUUUAUCUUUUGGUCAAACCGGUAAAGUUAAUGCUGAUUUAGACAGCAUGAUUUAGUCGUGUGCGUCUUAGCAGUGUAUUACAUUCCUACGAUUUCGUAGUCGAGCGUCGUUGCGUAGUCGAAGGCUAAUUUACAUUCUACGACUUGGGUGUAGAGGUGUCGUGGGCAUGUCGUAUACGACUGAAUCGUGCUGUUUAAAUCACUGGGGCACUGCGCCCCCCCCCCCCCCCCCCACAUAUUUAAAUAUAUAUAUAAGGAAAUAACCAGGAGGGGCGUGGCCGUGCCCCCAAAUAUUUUCUUAAUGACUUAAUGAUUCUGUUAUGUCCCCCCUCCCCCCAAUCUUAAGUGGCCUGCUACGGCGCUGAUCAGCCUGAAAAAAGAUUUAUUAAAUCGUUUUUAUUCAAUUCAUUUAUAUAAUAUAACUAAGUAAGAGUUUUGAAUUUGAUAUUUAAAAUAAUAUAACUAUAAAUUUCUAUAGCAAAAUGCUUGUAAGCAAUGAAAUAAUAAUAUACCUUUAGACACUAUUCGCGCUAAAAUCGGACAAUGGCUGUUGAAGACUCUCUAUUAGCCGCCAUUUUGCCAGAUGCAAUCUCCACAUUCAACUGAUUGGUCAAACCAACAAUGCACCACACUCACCAUACCGAAGUAGGGGGUGGUAAAAAUCCGCUUUUACUUUUUAUACUCUCGGCAUUGAUUAGUCCAGUGUUUGAUAAAGUUGAGCAACACUUGGGCCUUCUGUAAGUUCCCUCCAUACCCGAAAUGGAGACCGUCAAGACUUUUGAUUCCAGUCGUCAUAGGGUAAAAAUCCAACACAGGGACCCCCCUAGAGCGGCAAUACUCCGCCAUUUUAUCAUUAUACACUCUCCAGGGGUGAAAAGUUUUGAUCGUCGAAGAUCGCAAAAAGUUGUUAACACUGUGCAAGUUAUGCCAAAUUACUCGUGGCCAUCCGUUACCUUUUUCUUCGAUCAUAUCAAGAAGUGGACCUAAAUACCUCUUGAUAACAAUCCUUGGGUUUCUUUUCAUAUGUAGUCCAACAUUGACCACUAUCACGGAACCUGUCUUGUUUAAAAGACCUCUUACUGUCUUGUGCGCUUCAACGGGGCUGUAAUAAGCCUCGACGAGAGAAAACUUAAAAUGCGCCCGCCCGCCACACACCUGUGUGCGGUCUAAAUCAUCCCAGGCAUGCGCAAUUGCAAGCUGGCAAUCGAAUUUUCCGUUGUCAAUGAACUGGUACUCGCCUUUGCACUUCUCGUGUAGCUUCGUAUCCAUUUUGUGUGAGCCUGUUUCUUUGUUACCAGUCAAAAGAAUCGCCAUGGCUGUGAAGAAAUGCCGCGUUAUGGAAUCACCAAUAAAAACCAACUCGUUCAAGCUCGAGUCAAGUAAAUCACAAGCCAAAGUCUGAUCGAAAACUUUGAAUUUACACCGUUUACUAGAAGGAACCCACUGUGCAGACUCUGCGUCUAAGUAUCGCGAGAAAUCAGUGCACAUUUCGCAUGCGCAGUAGUCUCUUCCGCUCCCACAUGUGCCAGAGUUCUCGUUACAACAUGGCGUAGCGCUGACAGAAUCACACAGGGCACCCAACUUUGUACUCCCCGGAGCAGUUACAUUCUCACCACACCUCCCAUCCUCUCGAUGCAGUAUUCGGGGGAAUCCUAAGUAUUCAUGAACUUCCUGCUCUAACUCUCUACGCCUUUUGUGAUCCUCUUUUGAGGUUCCCUCCCUCAAAACCCAUGAGCCCUCUGUCAAACAGGUCAGCGUUUUCUCGCACUCCUCUGUGCUAAGAUGCUGUCGUGUUUCUUGAGGUAGCUCGUUACCGGAGACAAACAGAGCACGUUUAAACUCGACGUCCUGAUUUUUUAGUUUAACAAAGAGAAGUCCAUAUAUAACAACAGCGAAGAGAAUCACUGUGGCAACGCUGGUCUUUGCGGAAAGCUUGAAGAACUGUCUGAAGCAAACGGCCAUAAUAAGUCUGUACC